CCUUCUCUUGAAUCACUUCAUGUGGUACAUUUUUUUGUAGUUCAAUGGUCUCUCUUUUUUUGCUCGUCUUUUUUCUAAUCCUUUCUCCUUUAUUUUCCCACUCCUCCACUUCUGGUUUUUCUCUUCCCCUUUUUGUCGCUUCUUCAAGUCACAAACCUCUUCUUUUCUUCAACAAUAACCAGUUUUUUUUUCUCAAUCUCUUCUCUCUGCUCUUUUCUUGUUCUAUUAAUCUCUUUUAGCCUUGUAGAUUCAAUUCGAUUCGUCAUUUUUUUCUUCUCCGUUGUUGUUCACUAAAAUUUUCAAUCUCUUCACCCGUAUCUUAUAUCUUGGAUGCCUCCAUCAAACCACCCUCUUCUUUCUCCUUUCUCGGGUGAUUUCACCAACCAGUUAAUUCAACACCGUGAUCAUCCUUUGCAUCCUCGACACUUAUCCCCACACAUUUCCCAUUCGCUGUUUUUGCAAUUGAAAUCCUCAGAAUCGAUUCCUUCUAUGUGAAUUUAGCAUUGAUUUUGGCCCCAAAAUCACCCCAAAAGGACUUUUUAAAGGCCCUCUCGAAUUCCCUUAUCUCUGUCGUUUUCUCUUCUCCCUCUGUCUUUUUCUCCCCAACCGGAUUUUCACCACUUCCCAUCCUUAUCUGUCUUUUUCUCCUGAACCGGAUUUCAUUUCACCACUUCCCAUCCUCGUUUUUAUCUCGAUUUUUAUGAAUUUCUCCUCUGUAACCUGAUUUCUUCAACUUCAACAUUCAUUACCAGAAAAUAUCUUCUCAUUCAAGAAAGAAGAGAAAAAAAAAAAAACCUCCCCAGGUUCAAAAAUCAUCAAGACCCAUAAGCUUAGUAUAAUUACAUUAUGGUUCUAAAGUUUAAAUUUAACAUAAAUUUUCCUCCCUUUGUCAUAUUCAUCUGGUGGAAAAUAUGGGUUAAUAUUUUUUUCCUUGUUUGAUCGUAGAUGUCAUAGAAGCAAAACCGUGCAGCCAAAAUAUCAUAACUUUUGGUUGUUGAUCAGAAGUGAUGAAAGGAGGCCAGUGUGGCCACUGUUUGUGAGAUAAUGGUACAACUAUAUAUAAAUUGCUAUAAGAUUUCUAUGUUGUCAUUUCCUUUUCCUAAAAGGUACCUUUACCUUGAUUUCCUUGCGGUCCCUGUUAUUAUUUCCAUUCGCUUUAUUAUCCUUACUAAAGAAGAGGUUAAUGUAAUUCUUCCAAACUUAUGGAACCUUGUAAUAUUUCCUUAUCUCUGGGAAGAUCAGUGUGAUUUUACCCCCAAAACAAAUAGAAUACCAACUAACUAUAACACAUUACUAGUUGAUAAUAACUUAAACUCAUAUGCAUACAAUACAUAAUACACAUAAAGUGAUGUUAGAGAGGAAGAAGAGAGGAAGAGAGAGACCUUUGAGAUGGGCAGUGAGGACUAACAAGGAUUCUGUUUCUUUGGACACAAAAACAGGGCCAAAUCGGUCUUUGGCGAUUAGAAGAUCAGCUGAUGAGGUGAAAUCAACAGUGGUCUUGGAGAUCUUUAGUCCCAAUUCGAGUUCUAUUUUCUGAGACUGACUUUGAUUUUUGAUUGAAUGAGUUGAAGAACAGAAACAAUUGGUGAAGCUACAUUGAAGGAACAUAAAAUGUACUAACGUGUCUUUAGACGUAAGUAAACUUCGCUUCCUCACAUGUUAUGGCUGUUGAAACAGUUAAAAGUCGGUUAAUUUUUUGUGUUCGUUCAAGUUACUUUGGCGGGAAGAUAUGUCCACUUCGUUGAUUCCUAUUAGUUCAUAAAAGUACAUAUUACGCACAUGUUUGACAAAAUUCACUGACCCGAUAGGCCGAUACCUCUCCAAACCUAUAAAGUAGGAUUAUAGGGUUUAUAUAGCAAACUCGAAAGGCUCAGGGGUGGGUUUGGGAAAGAUUAUUCAUUGCCGUGGCCAGAUUAUAUACAAUAUAUUAUAUAAAACUGAUUAAUAUUUAUAUAUUUUUAUAAUUAACAUGUUAUAAUUUGAAGUAUUUUAAUAUCCCCACUAGUUUAUUUAUGUUCAGUAAUAUUUUUCAUCAGCAAAAUCUUUAUUUUCAAUUUGAAUUGUAAGUUGCACAACAUACAUUACACAUACGCAUGUUAGCUGAGGUUGGGCGGGGUAGGAUUUAUAUAUUCAUUUUUUUUUGUUUCACAAGACAAGUUUGUGUGGCUUGACCCGCACUUCAACUUCACAACUCUUGAUCAGAUAAUAAAUAUCAUCACGUAAGAUCAAGAUAUCUGAACCUAAUAUAUGUGCAUUCAUUAAUUACUUGUUAUGAAAUACGUAAAUGGGUUACUUUCAAAAAAUUCACCAAUUUUACAUCGUUUAUUGCACUAUGGUUAAUGAAGAAUCACCACCUCUCUUCAUGCCUAAUAAAUAGUAUGGUUAUCUUUUUCAGUAUGCAUUUUCUAAUGUUAUUUCUUGCAUGAAGCUGUGGGCCUUCAUGCCCAAGCUGUUUGGAAUUUAAUGAACAGUGCUAGACCAGUUGUAAAAAGGAAAAUGU
rnacentral:lncRNA from 1 species